GUGGCAGCGGGAGGGGCACAGGAAGGGAAAGGGCAUUGGUUUCGUGAAGGCCCGGGAGCUGCUGAAGCGACCUGUUGCACUCGGUGAGCUUCUCCCCUGUGGGAAACGGGCUUGAAGGAAAACAAACUCUGCUAAAACGGUGGAUCUGCCGGGAGGAGGGUUGAGACCGCUCCAUGCCAGAAGCCGGCUCCCCCGCAGCACGGCAAAAAGGCGAGACACAGACUCCCAAAUCAACCGAGGAAAAAUCUCUGCGCUAACAUCCGACAGGCAGCAGCCCUCCCUUUUCGGGCACCGGCCUCUCAAAACUAAUUGAACCGUGUUGAACCGUAAAGUGCGAGGCGAGGAAGGGGGAGUGGUGUCUAUUUUCUUUAUCUUUUUUUUGGUCUUUGUUUUGGGGUGGGAUGUGUUUGGUUUUUUAUGUCCUGCUGGGUUUUUUUUUCCCUUUUCCUUCUGCUCCCUCCUCUGCGCCAAGGUGCGCCCAGGAAGACGCCUAGUCCCUAGGGCUGAGGCGACCCUCACCCCGGGGGCAACCCCUGCCCCGCUUCCCCACGUCCCUAUAAAGUCGAGGCACACCCAUACCAACCUUAACCUCUCCUUUCUCCCUCCGAAAACACCGACGCCAGGAGUUCAGCCUGGGCAGGGGACAGGAGAGCCUUUCUCCCGACGGGGAACAAGCCCACCCCACCUCCAGCCGCAGCAUUCGCGGAGCUCCCGCCCCGCCAGAGCGCGGAGCUGCGCUUCUGCCGGCCCUGGCGCUGUCUGGGUUGCAAGUGGACCCACGGUCACAGGCCAGCCAGUGCCAAAAAAUGAAUUAAAAAAAAAGAAAAUAAAAAAAAAGGUGGCAGCGAGCCGGUGGAAAUCAGCCGUGCCGAGCUUCUCUCCAGCCGGGCGACACUGAAGCAGGGAGAAAGAUAAAGGAACAGUGCGAGGAAUAACCAACCCUUAACUCCCCGCAGAGCAUCGGGAGCCGGGUUUAUCCCACCGCUCUUGCGGGUUCUCCCUGGGGGCAGGCAGCACAGGCAGGAGGGAAAAGGAAAGAUCUGGCUCGCAGCUGGGGACCAGGCAGAUGCGCGUACUCCCGGCUCAGGGGUGCAAAGACUCGUCGGUAAGUCAGACCAGCUGGGGAAACUUGGCACUGCGCAGAGGAAAGCCCCCCCGAGAGCAUCUCUUCCCCCCCUUCCUGGCUGGGAAGAGAUGCGUGGCGAGGUUUAGCUGAAAGCGUGCUGCCGGUGGAGGGGAAAGGGAGCAGGGAGGGUUUUGUCCCGUCUGUUACCCGUGCUGUGACACACGGGCAGGGACCCAGCGCUUCCAUCAGAAAUAAAUCAGAGGGGUUGGAGCUCCGCGGUGACUCUUGCCGAUGCACCUGCCAAAAUUACUGCCGAGCUGGAAACCAGUCGGUGUGACAAAGACGCGAGAGAAAAUAAAAACAUCUGUAUAUGUCUUUGCUUUAAAA